AAACGUCUCACGCACCCGCAACCGGGCUGUCCCGGCUCUGCUCCCAGCCUAGCUGUGCAGCCGAGGGGGGGGGGGGGGGUCCCUUCUCUGAGCCUCAGUUUCUCCAUCGGUGAAAUGGGGGUAGUUAGUCCUCCCUCGGGGUUGUGAGAGUGGAGAGCGAGCAGAGUGAAGCUGUCGCUAACAUCAUCCACAACGGCAGAGCGCCAUCCCAACAACAGGGUCUGGAGCCUGACAUCCUGGGUUCGAAACCCCUCCUCUGCCACUCAUCCACCUGCGUGAUGGGUUCAUCUGUCUGCGCCUCUGUUUCCCCUUCUGUAAAAGAUGGUACCCUGGUCUCAGAGCCGCUGAGGGGAGUAAAUGAGCCUGUGGGAAGCUGGGUCGGGCCUAUCGUCAACCGUAAGAGGUGAGCCUCUUCCCUCUGUCAAGAUUGAAAUUCUAGAGAAAAUCAGAGAUGGAAGCAUGGUGUCUGUACCAGCCCUGGUGAGUCUGGGGAGGCCCCGAAUCUCCGUCCCAGACCCUGGCCACCUCUUAACUUCCCUCUUUCCCUUUCAGCCUCUCCUUUACCUACAUCCCUCUGCUCCCAGAUCCCCAGUUUACCUCCCUGUGAGAUGGGCUCAAACAGGCCCAUUAUUCUCUUCUCCAUUCUCCCGCAAAACUGCUCCUAAGCCCGACGCUUUCUCCCCAGAUUCUGGUCCAACCCCAGCAGAAUCUGUCCCUAUAACCAGCAAGGCACUGCCUCCCUGGUCUCCGUGCUUCUGCUCUCAGCCCCCAUAGAACCUUCCCUCCAUGUAGCCAGGGUCAGACUCGUCCUGCCUUUCUCCAGAACCCUCUAUGGCUCCCACCUUCCAUGGGGUAAGAGCCAAAGGCCUUCUCAUAGCCCCAGGACCCUGCUGGCCUUGCGGUUCCCACUUCCUUCCAACUGUUGGCAGGGAGGCUGGGGAGAACCCCGGGUCCUGCGGCCUCCAUCCAGCUGCACCCCGGGAUGCUGCCAGAGGCUCUUGGUCUCCUUUGCGCGAAAGAAUUCGAGGACAGACCAGGCAUAACGGCUGAGUGGUUCAAGAAGGAACGUGUAAUUCAAGCGAGAGUACACUCUUGAGAGUGACCCUUGUUAAAGAACAAAAAUUGGACCGAGUAGAAGAUCUAACUGCCUUUAUCAAGCCAGACACAGGGCGCCUGGGUGGUUCAGUCGAUUAAGCGUCCGACUUCGGCUCAGGUUACGAUCUCAUGGCUCAUGGGUUCGAGCCCCGCAGCGGGCUCUGUGCUGACCGCUCAGAGCCUGGAGCCUGCUUCGGAUUCUGUGUCUUUCUCUCUCUGCUCCUCCCCCGCUCACACUGUCCCUCUGUCUCUCAAAAAAUAGAUAAAUGUUUAAAAAAAAAUUUUUUUUUUAAUCAGGCCGGGCACAAAUGGGACAGCAUCGCACCUAGUGGCUGGAGGGGAGCUCGGAGGAGUUGUCAAAAAAUGGAAGGUUUUUACCAGAAGGAGGGUGGGGCUAGAAAGUUAUUAGCAAAAGAAAAGAAAGGGUUAUUCCAGGCCAAGUCACCUUAAGUGAGAAGGACCAAGGAGUCUUAUUAGGUGGGUUCCCUCAUCUUCCUUUGGGGGGCACGGACAGGGCCCACAACUGAUCCCUCAUUGGUGCAGAUUGAAAAUUCCUGGCUGGGGCGCCUGGGUGGCUCAGUAAGUUGGGCGUCCAACUUCGGCUCGGCUCAUGAUCUCACCUUUCAUGGGUUUGCUCUGUGCUGACAGCUCAGAGCCUGGGGCCUGCUUCGGAUUCUGGGUCUCCCUCUCUCUCUGACCCUCCCUCGCACGCGCUCUCUCUCCCAAAAAUGAAUAAUUUUAAAAAAUUAAAAAACAAGAAAGAAAGAAAAUUCCUGGCUGACUGGUUAAGACUUACAUUCUCAGGGAGGUUGAAUUUGCAAUUAGGUUAGGUAUUAAGCCCCUUUUUGGCCUAAGGGACACUAUCUUGGGCCUGUGGCUUUGCUUUCACACCCUUUAAGGUCACAUUCUCAGGUUGUGGGUAGACAUCUCUUUUUUGUGAGGGGGUGGGGCACAACCCAGCAUUGUCCAAGAAGAUCAUUAUCGGCUUUACUUUAUGGGCAACUGAGGCACAGAGAGAUCAGGUUGCUGCUCUGAGGGGCUAGGACUUCAACCCUGGCUGUCGUGAGCCUGAAUCUAUUCGCUUCACCGCUCUGGAAUCCUCUCCAAUCUGCUGUGGGCCAAGCCCUUGCCGGAAGCUGGGGACAUCGAGGCGAGCAAGGAUUGGAGGCAACAGGUGGACUGGGUCCCCUGUCUCACCUCCCCCGUCUCCUGCAUCUACCUCUGGGCCUCCAGUCUGAGUGGGAUGAGCCACGCUGUCGAACCUCCAGGGAAUGGUUGACGGGCUGGACUUUGAAAGGGGCCAAAGUUAUACACGCUGAGCCCAACCUGGGCCUGGCUGCCUUGCCCCACCGGUUAACUCCCUCCCCUCAUCCUGGGAGCCACAUUGCUGGGUCCCCAAAGCCUCCCACCCCGCCCCAGGGCCAUGAGCUCCUCCACUGGUCACCCUGAAUCCAACCUCCUGGUGACCCCAGGGGCUCCGGGGUCUCAAGGCACCAGCCUGGGCUCCUCAGCACCCCCAAGAUUGUUCUAGAAGAGAAGCAGGACCACGAGUGGACCUUGUCAAGGGGCGGCUGCGCACUGGGCAUGGCUGAGGCGGUGCUGCUGAACGCCACCUCACUGGGUUGGCCCGCACCCUGCAAGGAAGCCUGCCGUGUAGACGAACAACUCAGGCACUUGGACAACGGUGGGAAUCGCGGUCCACCCGUUGUGUUGAUUUACGUCAGCAUAAAGCAAACACGUACAGCAGACAGGGCAAAGGAUACCAAAUCCAAUCUAGGAUUUAUUUUUAUUUUAUUUUAUUUUUGUUUAUCCUGAGAGAGAGAUGGAGCGCGUGUGAGCGGGGGAGGGGCAGAGACAGCGAGAGGGAGAGAGAGAAUCCCAAGGAGGUUAUUACGCCAUUGCACAGAUGGGGAAACGGAGGCAGCGUCUGGGUGUGGGGCUUUGACAGCUGUGACAUCUCCCAGCCUAGACUGACUGCUUUUAUCUUCUUUUCGGUGUCUAUGUAACAGUAUGUUCGUGUGUAUUUCACCAAGGCUUUGCAGAUAGCACCUUAGGGUCGACAUGAUUUAAAAUACAGAUGCGUUUUAUUCCGAAGGGAGGAAGGGAACAUUACCAGGCACGUCUGGACAGCUAGAGUCUAUAGCGAGAUAGCAUUUGACGUCCUUCCGUAGGUACAGCAAAUAACUCAAGUUCCCCAAACAGAAGACUUUGUAUAAAAGCAUGUGAAUUUUGUUAUGAUGUUGCCUUUCCGCAACUGGUCUUAAAAUAAAAUAUCAUAUAGCUGUGUUAAAGGUCAGCUUUGUUAGGGCAUAACUCCCAUACAAUAGAAUUCAGUACGUGGCUCACGUACUGAGCCUGGGUGGCUCAGUUGGUGAAGCGUCCGACUCUUGAUUUCAGCUCAGGUCAUGAUCUCGUGGUUCGUGGGAUCGAGCCCAGAGUUGGGCUCUGUGCUGAUGGCGAAGAGCCUGCUUGGGAUUCUCUCUCCGUCUCUCUGCCCCUCCCCUUCCUGAGCGCUCUCUCUCUCUCUCUCUCUC